rnacentral:rRNA from 1 species
GUGCUCCUACGGGAGGCAGCAGUGGGGGGAUAUUGCACAAUGGAGGAAACUCUGAUGCAGCGCCGCCGCGUGAGGGAAGACGGUCUUCGGAUUGUAAACCUCUGUCUUUGGGGAAGAAAAUGACGGUACCCAAAGAGGAAGCUCCGGCUAACUACGUGCCAGCAGCCGCGGUAAUACGUAGGGAGCGAGCGUUGUCCGGAAUUACUGGGUGUAAAGGGAGCGUAGGCGGGCGAGAAAGUUGAAUGUUAAAUCUACCGGCUUAACUGGCAGCUGCGUUCAAACCUUCUUGUCUUGAG